rnacentral:misc_RNA from 1 species
GAUGAAGAACGCAGCGAAAUGCGAUAAGUAAUGUGAAUUGCAGAAUUCAGUGAAUCAUCGAAUCUUUGAACGCACCUUGCGCCCUUUGGCCAUUCCGAAGGGCAUGCCUGUUUGAGUAUCAUGAACACCUCAACUCUUCAUGGUUUUCCGUGAUGAGCUUGGACUUUGGGGGUCUUGCUGGCCUAUGGUCAGCUCCUCUAAAAUAAAUCAGCUUGCCAGUGUUUGGUGGGUAUCACAGGUGUGAUAACUAUCUACGCUUGUGGUUUUCCACCAGGUAACCUUCAGCAGUGGAGGUUCGCUGGAGCUCACAGAUGUGUCUCUCCUCAGUGAGGACAGCUCUUUGAAUGUUUGAUCUCAAAUCACGUAGGACUACCCGCUGAACUUAAGCAUAUCAAUAAGCGGAGGA